GUUGUAUGUUAGAUCAUCUUUCGAGUAUAUGCACAGGAGAGGUAUAGCUGGGUUGACACACUUGAGAGCAUAGAAAAUGAAUUAUUCUUUAUCUCAGAUGUCUGUUGUUGCUCAGAGUCAGUGGUUGUAUGGUUAGGCCACAUUUCGAGGGGCAGGAUCUGCCCAAGCUCCAGGCUGCUACACAGGACCCUGCACAGUACCUUGACCUUGGUGCUGGCUGCCCUGCUGAUAGGUGUCCUGGCCAUGACCAUUUUGUGUUUGUGGCUCCCUGGCAGGCCUUCAGCCCCCCACUCUCCAGCACCCACACCCCAUGGGUAUUGCAAACUGCAGCAGCUGGGUCUGCAGGGACAUGGGUUAAGGUGUUCUUGGUAGUAGUUCAAGCCUCCCGGGAGCCAAAGGACAGACUCUACUCACAAGCUCCUUUGCCAGCUGACUGUGCACCCAUUCCUGUGGCAUCCACUGGGACUUUAGUCCUGCUUCUCUCUGCCACAGGUUCCAUUCCAUUUCACCAGUUUUUUUUUUAUCCUAAGUUUUUAUUUCUGUUUCUAUAUCUUGAAUAGUUUUGCCUAAAGCAAAUAUUAUCUUUCUCAUGCUGCUAAAGUAAUGCCUACCUGAUUAUCUUUGACAACAGAGAUUAUUUUUUUCUCCCUUCUGAAGGCUAGCAGCACAGUCAGGGUGUCAGCAGGUCCCGGCACUCUCAGGCUAUGAAGGAGAAUCUGUUCUUGGCUUUGUUCCUUCCUGGAAGCUGUUGGGCCAUCUUUGAUGUCUUUGCCGUCACCUUCACGUGUGUUCUCUUCAUGCAUACGUUUGUUUCUGUGUCCAUGCUUCCCGAUUUAUAAGCAUGCAAGUGAUAUUGGACCAGAAUUUACUCUAAUGACUUCAUUUGAUUUUGAUUACUUGUAAAAAUUUCAUUUUCAGAUAAGAGCACAUUCAGGAACUAGUGUUUAGGACACCAUCUGGGAAGAUAAACUGUAUGAAUAGCUAACGUUUCUGAAGAAGUAUAUCUGGAAGUUCUUUAAUAGUGGUUUUAUAUAUACGUGUGAAGUUUAUUAAAAUACUGGGAUAAUUAUGAGUGUAUGCCAAUCGAUGAGUCAUGUCUAAAUAUUUGUUUUUGAGACAGGACUUGUUUAGUCUUACAAAAAAUAUAUACAUACAUAGUUUAAUGAAAGAUUUUCUAUGUGGACUGACAAGAGCCAUAAACUAACCAAGGCCUUAGCGCCAGGUAUGAGAAUCUAUUUUUGAAUUCUUGGCUGCUGUUGUCCAAGAGACUUCCAAAACAUUUUGGGUUAUUUAUGUUGCUAUUGGUUACCCCAAAGGUGGACAUUGAUAAGUCCCAUGAAGACAUCAAGCACUUCAGACACAGGACCAGAGGAUUUGAACUAUAUGCAACCUGAAAGCCUCAUUCCUGAGGACCACCUUGCAUAAUAUGAGAAAGUGCCACAUGUACUUCCAAAGGAGAGAAGAAGCAACAGUCCUUCCUAGACCCAGCUGUACAUCCUGUGCACUGCAACAAUGACCAGAAUGGCAAGCGUGCCCUAUGGGUAUGGUACUGAUACACAUUCCUUGUUGGUGGCCAUGCGAUGGCAUCAUAGGUUGCUGCAGAUGGUUUCAAUGGUUCUGUUGGAUGUUCUUCAUCUGUGCCUGCAAGAGGCGCCCAAGGCUUUAUGUAUGGCCAUUGCUAUGACCUAGUGUGAUGCUCUACUUUCCCGCUGAACUUUACUUGCUAGAACUGAGGAGCUUGGCUAUAAUUUAGCCUUUUCUUUUUGUAUUUAGCUGUUGUUGAGGAAGGAGCUUUGGGAAUAGAAGUAACCAGGCAGCAGGUCCAUUUUCACUGUUGAAGGCAGCUGAAAACUCAUCCCUACUGAUGAUCAAUCCAGAAGAAACCUCAAGGCUCUGUCAAUUGUUUCCAGUCCCACAGAAGCAGCAAGAAGCCUUUCUCUCUAUGAAGUAAUGACAGAUGACGACCAGCAAAGAAUGGUAAGGCAUACCAACAGCAUGCAGUGUCACUAGCAAAGACCAGUAUCAGCAAAGCAAAGACCAGCAAAGCAUGAUCAACUAACCACAAAUGGAAUUUCAAAGAAGAUUCUAUAUAAGUUUUCACCUUGAAAUGUUUUAUCAUUUCAAACUAAGAAGUUUGGAUUUUAUCCUGAGAUUUUAUCACAUAACUGUGACAAUUCCAGAUCAGAGAGAAGAAAAUAAUGCUGGAGACAUUGACACAUAGGUGAGAGGUGAAAGUAAAUUGAACUAGGGUGGAUGGCAGGAAUAGAGAGAAGUAGAGAUAUUCAUAGGACAGAAGAACCAGGGUCUUAUGACUGGUCUGCUACAUGAGGAGCAGGAAUGAAGGUUGAUUAGGAUCUAAGGCAGAGAGCUUUUUUUUUUUUUUUUUUUUUUGAUUCUUUUUUUCGGAGCUGGGGACCGAACCCAAGGCCUUGCGCUUCCUAGGUAGGCAGAGAGCUUUACAGUGGUUCUUGUAUAAGAUAUAAAGAUUGAAGACAUGUACAAUGUGUCAGUCAAUAGCAGCAUAGUGGAUUGAGUUCUAGGUAGACUGAAUUUUAAAUUUCCAAUUGUGUCUAAAUAUUUUCCAUAGAUAUUAACCUAUGAUAGUAAUGUUUAGUAUAGUUUAUAGAAGUUAGGUGAAUAUAAAAAUCUAUUAAUUUUAACUAUGUUAAAUGAUAGUGUGACAUUCACUUUUAAAUAGUUAAGGCUAUAAUUAGUGUGUUAGAGUCAAUACUUGAUUCAUUUCUUCUAGUGGUCCAAAGAAUCCAAUACAAGACAUAAAAAAUAGUUUGGUGAGAUGAUUUGUACAACAGGCUAGAAACUGGCUUUCCAAAUGAGACUACUGCAAUAUUUAUAUAACACCCCCAAUGUGUUUUACUUAAAAUCAGGAAUCUAUUGAUAUAUCUAUAGGAAGAACCUUGGUAAGUGAAUUGGCCUAUGAGAUCUGUCAUUGGUAAGACAUUCUAGAAUUUCAUCAAGCAGAUUAGGUACCUAAGAUUGUUAAAAUAUGUUAAUUUAAUGUACACAUUUUGUCAUUAAGGAAACUCUUAUGUGUUAGAAAAAUUAAUUGUUACUUUUUACUAUUUUUGUUUGUGUAUAUUCACUGUACAAAAUAACAGGUUUCAUGAUGGCAUUUUAGUAUGUGUGUAUCAUGUACUUUUUUUGAGUCUGCUUUAUUUCAGUUAACACGGUGAUCUCUAGUUCAAUAGUUUCGUGUAAAUAUUGUAAUUUUAUUCUUAUUUAUGCUUGAAUAAAAUUAAACUGUGAAUAGA
rnacentral:sRNA from 1 species